rnacentral:rRNA from 1 species
AUUGAACGCUGGCGGCAUGCCUUACACAUGCAAGUCGAACGGCAGCGGACCUUCGGGUGCCGGCGAGUAGCGAACGGGUGAGUAAAGUAUUGGAACGUACCUUUCCGUGGGGGAUAACGUAGCGAAAGUUACGCUAAUACCGCAUAUUCUCUGAGGAGGAAAGCAGGGGACGUUAGGGCCUUGCGCUGAUGGAGCGGCCGAUAUCAGAUUAGUUAGUUGGUGGGGCAAAGGCCUACCAAGGCGACGAUCUGUAGCGGGUCUGAGAGGAUGAUCCCACACACUGGGACUGAGACUCGACCCAGACUACUACGGGAGGCAGCAGUGCGGAAUUUUGGACAAUGGGCGAAAGCCUGCUCCAGCCUUGCCGCGUGAGCGGACAAGGCCUUCGGGUUGUAAAGCUCUUUCGGCCGGGUAGAAAUCGUGUCGGCUAAUACCCUGCUUGGAUGCCGGUACCGGAAUCAGAAGCACCGGCUAACUACGUGCCAGCAGCCGCAGUAACAC